rnacentral:rRNA from 1 species
GACGAACGCUGGCGGCGUGCUUAACACAUGCAAGUCGAACGAUGAAGCCGGAGCUUGCUCUGGUGAAUUAGUGGCGAACGGGUGAGUAACACGUGAGUAACCUGCCCUUGACUCUGGGAUAACUGCGGGAAACUGUAGCUAAUACCGGAUACGACCCUCGGAGGCAUCUCUGGGGGGUGGAAAGAAUUUCGUGCAAGGAUGGACUCGCGGCCUAUCAGCUAGUUGGUGAGGUAAAGGCUCAACAAGGCGACGACGGGUAGCCGGCCUGAGAGGGUGACCGGCCACACUGGGACUGAGACACGGCCCAGACUCCUACGGGAGGCAGCAGUGGGGAAUAUUGCACCAUGGGCGCAAGCCUGAUGCAGCAACGCCGCGUGAGGGAUGACGGCCUUCGGGUUGUAAACCUCUUUUAGCAGGGAAGAAGCGAAAGUGACGGUACCUGCAGAAAAAGCACCGGCUAACUACGUGCCAGCCGCCGCGGUAA